rnacentral:lncRNA from 1 species
GUCCUUGUCAUUUUUUGGUCUUUGGCUCGUUUUGACAUUUUGUUAACAUGUCUUUAGCGAAUAUUGUUUUGUUCUAUCAAUUAAUGGUACUCUCUACUGUUAAUCUUGUCAUCAUGAUGAAGUAAUAAUAAUAAUACAAGAAGUGCAGAGGAAGUGCCUGAAAUGUCCUCUAAUAAGUCUGGAAUAAGUAUGGUAUCGACGAAG